rnacentral:rRNA from 1 species
GACGAACGCUGGCGGCGUGCUUAACACAUGCAAGUCGAACGGAAAGGCCCUUCGGGGUACUCGAGUGGCGAACGGGUGAGUAACACGUGGGUGAUCUGCCCUGCACUUUGGGAUAAGCCUGGGAAACUGGGUCUAAUACCGAAUAGGACCACGCGCUUCAUGGUGUGUGGUGGCAAGCUUUUGCGGUGUGGGAUGGGCCCGCGGCCUAUCAGCUUGUUGGUGGGGUAAUGGCCUACCAAGGCGACGACGGGUAGCCGGCCUGAGAGGGUGACCGGCCACACUGGGACUGAGAUACGGCCCAGACUCCUACGGGAGGCAGCAGUGGGGAAUAUUGCACAAUGGGCGCAAGCCUGAUGCAGCGACGCCGCGUGAGGGAUGACGGCCUUCGGGUUGUAAACCUCUUUCAAUAGGGACGAAGCGAAAGUGACGGUACCUAUAGAAGAAGCACCGGCCAACUACGUG